rnacentral:rRNA from 1 species
AUUGAACGCUGGCGGCAUGCCUUACACAUGCAAGUCGAACGGCAGCACGGGAGCAAUCCUGGUGGCGAGUGGCGAACGGGUGAGUAAAGUAUCGGAACGUGCCCAGUCGUGGGGGAUAACGUAGCGAAAGUUACGCCAAUACCGCAUACGAUCUAUGGAUGAAAGCGGGGGAUCGCAAGACCUCGCGCGAUUGGAGCGGCCGAUAUCAGAUUAGGUAGUUGGUGGGGUAAAGGCUCACCAAGCCGACGAUCUGUAGCUGGUCUGAGAGGACGACCAGCCACACUGGGACUGAGACACGGCCCAGACUCCUACGGGAGGCAGCAGUGGGGAAUUUUGGACAAUGGGCGAAAGCCUGAUCCAGCCAUGCCGCGUGCAGGAUGAAGGCCUUCGGGUUGUAAACUGCUUUUGUACGGAACGAAAAGGUUUGGGCUAAUAAGCUGAGCUCAUGACGGUACCGUAAGAAUAAGCACCGGCUAACUACGUGCCAGCAGCCGCAGUAA